GCUUGGCAAGAGUGAUGAUUCAAUUAGAUGUGUGAAAAGAGAUAUCCUUUUUUGUGAACUUAAUUGUUUGAGGCAUAACAUUUGUCUGACUUGCCUGCCAUUUUAACCUUUCGAAAGUUUUCAUUUAAUUUACUUAUUGUAGUUGUUUACUUUGAAUUCAAAUGGUAAUGAACUCUAUCUGGACUAUAUGAACUGGUUGUGUUUUAAUGGACUUGGCAAGAGUGAUGAUUCAAUUAGAUGUGUGAAAAGGGAAACCCUUUUUGUGAACUUACUUUUUUGAGGCAUAAUUUUGUCUGACUUGCCUACCUUCAGAGUCUAUUUAGAUUUCAGUUAUCUUAGUUGUCUGCAAUGUAGGUGAAUUUGUUAUCUUGGAAAUGUGCUUAGGAAAUGAUCUCUCUAGAUAAAUGUAGAUUGGUUGUGUUUGGCAAGAGUGAUGAUUCAAUUAGAUGUGUGAAAAGGGAACUCCUUUUUGUGAACUUAAAAUUUUUGAGGCAUAAGUUUGUCUGACUUGCCCACAAUCGUAGUCUAUUUUAUUUAGUUCUCUUAGCUAGUCUAUUUUAGUUAGUUCUCUUAGCUGUUUGUUCUAUCUAGGUUGCUUUUAAGUUAAUGUUUGAAAUGAGUUUGGCAAGAGUGAUGAUUCAAUUAGAUGUGUGAAAAGGGAAAUCCUUUUUUUGAACUCAAUUGUUUGAGGCAUAACAUGUCUGACUUGCCUGGC
rnacentral:lncRNA from 1 species